GUGUGUGUGCGUGUGUGUGUGUCCGCAGGACGGAAGUGGAGCUCUGCAGCGCAGCGGCUCUCUGGGGAAGCUCAGAGACGUUUUGCGUCGCAGCAGCGAGAUGCUGGUGAAGAAACUGCAGGGCAACGGACCACCUGAACCUCGCAACACCAACAUGAAGAGAGCUGCUUCACUGAAUUACCUGAACAGAACAAGUGACGACUCUUUCCAGACUCGAGGAGGCGGAAACUUCAGGGAAAGCCGGGGCCUGAGCUCCAGCACCGUGGAUCUGUACACUGGGAAGUGAGCGGCUCAAGAGGUCGCAUCACCACAUCAGAGUUAUUCUUUAUACCGACUCGUCUCCUGAGACGCAACAAUGACUGAUGACACUACCACACAGAACCAGCCCCUUCAGGGUCUUUAUCCUCGCAGCUGGGCACUUAUUCACUCCCAACACCCCAGACCUCCACAAUCGGAGACUUCCCUGCAUAACUGAUACGCUGUGGUUGUAAAUGUUUCUGUUUCCUGCUGACCGACAGCCUUACCCCACUUCAUCAUGGCCCUGAACUUCUCCGUUGCCCGAGUGCCUCAUUAACGUGUUGGACCUCGUCUCGUAGUAGCUGCUGCACUUUGAAUCGAUUUGUUGCCAUAAAGUCACUCGUGCUGGUUUUAUUUUCCUCUUGUGUUGUUUGGAUCUCAGAAUUUUGUGACUUCCUCUCUUCCUGUGCCAUUUGAUUGUUUUAUCAGUGCAAGAAAAUAAACUGUAGACUUUGAGGUUUGAGAUGAGUUUGGGUGAACGUGUUGUUUUCUUGCCUUUUGAGAUUUAAUUUCCAAUUAGGUGAAAGCUUUUGGGUACAGGGUGAAACAUUUAUCAGACUGAUACAAUUUUAAGUCGUGUGAAAUUAUCUGCUGCUUUAAUUUACUGUUUUGGUGUAAAAAAUAGUUUUUUCUGCUGCUGAACUUUAAAACUUUGAGGCAUUUUGGACUCAAAAAGCUGGAAAACAAUAUUUUAAGUUGUGUUUAAAAUAAAGAAAAAACCCUAGGCUGCUUGAUUUAUCUCGACCUGGAUGUCUUAAAAAAUAUUUGGUGCAGGAUUUAAGCCUCUUAGCACCAGCUGCCACAUUUUGAGAGCAUGUUUGUAUAAAGUUAUUUAGUAAUUAGGAUGGAGACGGUUUGUUUUUGCACGACUCUCAGGUGGUGGUCUUUUUCUCACUGAUUGCAUUUUUAGUGAAGUGUCUCCUCAGAAGAUACAGUUUUAUUUUUUAUAUCUCUUACUUACUCUCAACAGAUUUUCCUUGAAAACUUUGUAAGAAAAAAGUGCAUUCAUCAAAUGAUAAGUCAACAUAUUCUGAAGAGGUGAUCCUGAUCCGUUUGUUGGGAUUAAACUGAAUGUUUUAGAUGUUUAGAGCAUCAGAUUGGGCCUGAUUCCUGAACAGUCCCGUGUGUAAUCAGUAGCCACUUUCUCUGAGGAUCCUUGAAUAAAUCUUUUUGAU